UUUUGAGACAUAAAACAACAGAUUUUUAAACCAAACACUGCAUAAUUUUGACCAUCAACAAUGAAACAAUUUAUAACCCUUACAACAUGGAAAACUCCCAAUGAAAUUCAAGCUUUUGCUGUACAAACUGAAUUGUAGCAUCUAUCUAUUAUACUAAAUGAAUUCUCUUAGGCCACAUGGGCUAUUCUUAGCCAAUCAUUUUGAUGAUGUGGAUAAUGUCUUUGGCCAGAGAAUUCAGACUGAGCGGCAAUCUCCCUCACGCGUACUCUACAAUCAUUCCAUUCUAAAUAUUAAACCCUAAUUUCAUAAUUUCAUUCCUUCAUCUACACUCCUUUUCAAUCUGGUUCUCUAUCUAAAUCUCACAAUUUUUCUAAAUCCAUCUCCAUUGAUCGUUCCUACAACCCUAAUUUGGUUGUGUGUAUAAAUUUGCUGGAUUCAUCGGAGCAAUGAUUUAUCUCAGGUUCUCUCUCUAAACGUCUCUUGCUGUUGGAUCCCUUAUUAUGUUGAUUUCUUGGGCUGUAAAAGUUGCUGAAGCACCUAAUACUGAUAUGGAGUUCUGGAAAUCGAUUGUACCUGGCCCAUACCCACUUCAAAAAUCCCUAUAUCUCAAGUAUUCGAACUCUCAUCCAGAGUAAUUUGAAAGCUUCGGGAGUGGUUAGCAAUAAUUCAAUCCAGUCAUGGGAGGCUUUCAGGUUAGAUUGUUUUACCUAUUAUGGUUAAACCUAGGAUUAGGUUCAAGUUAUCCGGCUACAGAGGUUUUAAAUGUGGCGAUUACUAUCAGGCUAUUAUUUAAAGUUACUUCUCGGCAUUUAUGCUUAUAUUGAUUCUUUUAUAAUUAACCUGAGAUUGGAGGUCCAAAAUAAUUGUUGUGACAAAGACCUAUGUGGUUCUCAACAAGGCUGACCGCACAUCAGCUUGUGUAUUUGUUCCCUUGAUCUUAUCUUAUGAUACACAUGACUGGGUUUUCACUUCUUACUGCAAAAACAUCUUGGCCAUAUACUUUCGUAUUAGACGCAUUUUUGUUUUUUAUUCCUUUGGUUCCGUUUAUUAAUAGUAUUUUGUAUUUACAUUAUGGGGGUGUUUUCUCUUGCCAAAUGAUUUAGUUGAAAAGAUAUGGAAUUGAUUAUAUUAGUUAACCUCUUAAUCGGUCUUAUCCAUCAGGAUCUCUGUGUUCACGUGUAGCAAAAUUAGUGGGUCAAAAGUUGCUUCAAUCAUCCGCAGUCCAAAUGCCUACAAUCAUCAGUGGAUUUGUAUCCAAUAUGGCUUCAAGAGGAGAUAAAGUAUCGGUUUUAGCAUUUGAAGUAGCUAAUACCAUUGUUUAAGGGUCCAAUUUGAUGCAAUCCCUUACCGAAAAGCAUCCAGAUCCUUAUAAAGGAGAUUUUGCAUUCAGAUCUAGAGAGUUUGUUCGGUUUAGAAAUAUGUGGGCUGGCAUAUAUACCUGUUGACGCACAAUACGACAACAAUAGAGGUGAUUUAAGAGAAAACACACUGCUUUAGAGGCUGGAAUUUCAGCAAACGGUUGCGGGCAUCAGUCACAUUUCAUUUGGUGGAGAAGAAUCGGUAUCUCCUAAAAAGGCACUUUUUGAGGCUAAGUAGCGGGAGUUAAGUGGUACAUUAGAUAAGGAGUCAGAUUCAACGUUGAAAAAAACAGUUUUCAAAUGCAAAGAACAAGGAACUUAGUGGACAUAACAUAUUUGCACCACCUCCUGAAAUUCAACUUCGCCCGUUGGCUGCGCGCGCAUUGGCGUUGAGAGAAAGCAUAACGAUCAGUGAAUCUACUCCAAACAAUACAAAUGUUGCAGAACUGGUGAAGACGGCAAAAAGAUCCCGAGCCAGAAAUUCACAGAGCUUUCUGGAAACAAUAUUUUCAAAGGUGACGAGGUGCCAGCAUCGACAGAAAAACCUCUGAGCUCAGCAAAGCUUUGAGAAAUGAGUGGAAGUAAUAUCUUUGCUGACGGGAAAGCAGAAUCUAAAGACUAUCUAGGGGCUCGCAAGCCGCCGGCUGGAGAUAGUAGCAUUGCUUUGGUUUAGGUUCUAACACAUUUGUUUUCAGUAUCAUUGUUUCUUUUUCAUGUUUUUGGUAAAUGGUACUUGGUGGUGCUAUUCAUAUGGAUUUGAUUGUGG
rnacentral:lncRNA from 1 species